rnacentral:lncRNA from 1 species
GUGUGUUUAUAAUUGAUCUUAACCUACUCAUUACCCCUGCCAUUCUCUCUAUAGCAUUCUUAACAUUAGUUGAACAAAAUGUAUUAGCCUAUAUGCAGCUUCUCAAAGGGCCUAACAGUAUAGGCCCCUGUGGCCUACUUCAACCCUUUGUAGGCACAAUAAAACUGUUAAAGAGCCACUGUGACCACUGACAUCUUCUAUACUCUUAUACAGUAUUGCACCUACCCUAGCCCUACCCCUUGUACUUACUAUAUGAAUCCCAUUACCUAUACCACAUCCAUUAAUUAGCCUAAACAUAGGAAUGCUAUUCAUCUUAGGUACAUCAAGCCUAGCCAUAUCUUCUAUCCUAUGAUCAGGAUGAGCAUCAAAUUCAAAUUAUGCAUUAAUUGGUACACUAUGAGCAGCAGCACAAACAAUUUCAUAUGAAGUCACCCUAGCCAUUAUCCUAUUACCAGUUCUCCUAAUAAACAGAUCAUUUACACUGUCAAUAUUCUAAUUAUUACCAUAGAAUAUAUAUGACUAGUUCUUCCAUCAUGACCCUUGUUCAUAAUAAAAUUUAUUUCAACACUAACAGAAACUACUUGAGCUCUAUUCAUUCUGACAGAGGAUGAGUCAGAACUGGUAACAGGCUUUAAAGUUGACUAUGCUGCAGGCCUAUUUGCCCAAAUGUUUUAAAUAGCAGAAUACACCAACAUCAAUAUAAUAAGCACUAAACACUAUCAUUUUUCUAGGGGCACUCCAUGACAUUCACAUACAGGAAAUUUAUGUAAUCAAUUCUAUCAUUAAAACACUCCUCUUAUGAGUUCAUGCAUCAUAUCCACAAUUCCAAUAUGAUCAACUCACGCACCUGUUUGAAAAUUUUUUUUUAGCAUUUGCACUAGCAUUAUGCAUGACACAUCUAUAUGCCCAUUUUACUAUCUAGUAUUCUACCAAAAACA